rnacentral:rRNA from 1 species
AUUGAACGCUGGCGGCAUGCCUUACACAUGCAAGUCGAACGGCAGCACGGGAGCAAUCCCGGUGGCGAGUGGCGAACGGGUGAGUAAAGUAUCGGAACGUGCCCAGUCGUGGGGUAUAACGUAGCGAAAGUUACGAGAAUAACGCAUACCAGCUAUGGAUGAAAGGGGGGGAUAGCAAGAACUCGCGCGAUUGGGGCGGCCGAUAUCAGAUUAGGUAGUUGGUGUGGUAAAGGAGGACCAAGCCGACGAUCUGUAGCUGGUCUGAGAGGACGACCAGCCACGCUGGGACUGAGACACGGCCCAGACUCCUACGGGAGGCAGCAGUGGGGAAUUUUGGACAAUGGGCGAAAGCCUGAUCCAGCCAUGCCGCGUGCAGGAUGAAGGCCUUCGGGUUGUAAACUGCUUUUGUACGGAACGAAAAGGUUUGGCCUAAUAAGCUGAGCUCAUGACGGUACCGUAAGAAUAAGCACCGGCUAACUACGUGCCAGCCGCCGCAGUAACAC